GUUUGAGUGAUUCUCCUGUCUCAGCCUCCCAAGUAGCUGGGAUUACAGGUGUGCACCACCACACCUGGCUAAUUUUUGUAUUUUUAGUAAAGACAGUGUUUCAUCAUGUUAGCCAGGCUGGUCUUGAACUCCUGACCUCAAGUGAUCCACCCACCUCAGCCUCCCAAAGUGCUGGGAUUACAGGCAUGAGCUACCAUACCUGGCCCAGAUCAUUAUUGAUGACACCACUGAGGCUGGGGAGCCAUGACCCUGCCCCCUUAAGAACCCUGCUCCAGGCCGGACGCCGGUGGCUCAAGCCUGUAAUCCCAGCACUUUGGGAGGCCGAGACGGGCGGAUCACGAGGUCAGGAGAUCGAGAUCAUCCUGGCUAAUACGGUGAAACCCCGUCUCUACUAAAAAAUACAAAACACUAGCCGGGCAAGGUGGCGGGCGCCUGUAGUCCCAGCUACUCCGGAAGCUGAGGCAGGAGAAUGGCGUAAACCUGGGAGGCGGAGCUUGCAGUGAGCCGAGAUUGCGCCACUGCACUCCAGCCUGGGCGAUAGAGCGAGACUCCGACUCAAAAAAAAAAAAAAAAAAAGAAUCCUGCUCCAAAUUGAAACAGUAACACGCAUCCAUGAGCUAGGACAGGGAAGAGAAUGACAAGGACUCUAAACCACCUGGCAGUGAAAUUUCCAAUGGAAAGGAGACCCGCUGGACCCCUUGGUGCUGGGGGUGGAGUCAGAGAGGGCAGCACUCCUGGAGACUCAGAUCGGUUUUCAGGUUGUUGCCCCAGCACCAAGCCGAGAAGUGAGCAAGGAGGAUUUGAAGCAUCAAGUCCACACCGAGGUGUGCUCAGUGGGAAAUCCCUCAGCCCUGACCAGCCAGCAAUUCCAAGACCCAGGGGUGAAGGGAGGUGCAGAUGCUGCUGUCUCUUGGAGCCUGCACCUCGGCAGAGGCUGAUUCCAGCUUGCAGUUCUCCACUACUUGCAGUUUGCAGCAGGAGACAGAUGGUCCUCUUGACAGUUGGAACCAUUGGGCCUCUUUCCAAAAGUGUGGGCUGUGUUUAAAGAAACUAACAAGGAGAGGAAUCAUCCUGCGGCUAGCAAUAAUGGUGAGACACUUAAUAUUACUAGCCCUGAUGGGGCAGCAGAGAAGGACUUUAAUGAGAAACAGAUGAGAGAAGGGUUGAAAGACGGCCCCCUGCAGAGGCU
rnacentral:lncRNA from 1 species